GUUUGAGACUUUCUUCCCUAAAGGCACCAGAGCUUGUCUGAUCUUGGAAGCUAAGCCGAGUUCAUUUGGGUUAGUACUUUGAUGGAACACCACCAACACAUACCAGAAGCUACAAGCU
rnacentral:rRNA from 11 species